rnacentral:rRNA from 1 species
CGUUAUCCGGAAUUAUUGGGUUUAAAGGGUCCGUAGGCGGAUGAUUAAGUCAGGGGUGAAAGUUUGCAGCUCAACUGUAAAAUUGCCUUUGAUACUGGUCAUCUUGAGUUGUAUUGAAGUAGGCGGAAUAUGUAGUGUAGCGGUGAAAUGCAUAGAUAUUACAUAGAACACCAAUUGCGAAGGCAGCUUACUAAGUACUAACUGACGCUGAUGGACGAAAGCGUGGGUAGCGAACAGGAUUAGAUACCCUGGUAGUCCACGCCGUAAACGAUGGAUACUAGCUGUUCGGGACCUUGAGUUCUGAGCGGCUAAGCGAAAGUGAUAAGUAUCCCACCUGGG